GGAGCCAGUGUGUAGAAUUUCCUCUUACCAGUCGAAACUAUUCGUAACCGUCUAUUGCCCUCAACUCGAACAAGGGACCCACUUCGUCCCAGCUCUAACCAAUCUGAAAGCGCUAUGUUUCGUUCGCGUGCGUGUGAAAACAGCUGAUUUUGUUUACAGGACUGCCGCGUCUUUGAAAAUUUGCUUGCUUACUUGUGAAAAAUGUUUCUUCUGAAAAUUAUAUUUACUUGCGAUAAUUGUGCUUCUUUUCGAAAACUAUGUUGUGUGUUUUAUUUGCAUUGCUGUUUUAAACAGUGAAAUCAGAGAACUAUUCCUGUAUGAAGUGAAAUGUGAAGCUUCUAGAAUAGUUUCUGCUAGAAAUGUCUGGUGUAGGUGUACUUUACAGUUGAAUGUUAGCGCAGUGCAGGAAACCAGCUUAAUGCCAUGAAUUGGGCGCCAAAUAAAUUAUAUGGAGUGCAAUCAUUUUCAGUGUGUAAACGCAAAUGUUUUACGGAAAAUUGCUUUUUUUCGUAGCAAUGAUUGAUACAUAUUCACACAGCAUAUGUAUUGUACUUUGAUGCAUUUGUUGUAUCAUACAUUUUGGUUUAGAUGUAAGAUUAAAAAAUUAUUCUGGUGUGAAAUGUAGGCUUUAGUCACGUAAACUGGACCUCCUCAAGUUCCUUAAACUUGGCCCCUUUCUUUUUCAUGAUUAAAGCCCUACGUAUUAGUGUACUCUUAUUCCCUUGAAAUUCUCUUGCUGAUACCAAGAGGGUAAUAGGGAGGGCUAAUCAAAGAAUGUCGAGUCUGUAGAAAAUGACUAAAGCUAUUGAUGUAUUUCAAAAACAGGUUAGUCAGAAGAAAGCCGGUGAACAGUUUAAUGUUCGAAAAACAACUCGUAUGAGGGUUUCCAGCAAGAAGUACAGUACACCUGAUGAACCAGCAAAAACAACGAAAGGCAGACCUACACAUUUAGGUAAAGAUCUUGAAGAGCUAGUUUGUGUUGUCUUGCUAUGGAAGCUUCUUCCUUCAUGCUUAGUCGCAAUGACGUGUGAAGAAUGGCUAUACAUCUGUCGGAGAGAAAUAACACUGAACACCCAUACGAAAAUGAAACUGCUGGGAAAAUGUGGGGUAGUUCUUAACUGACACACAACCAAUCUGCCACAAAUAAAUCCUACAGGAACGUUCUAUAACAGGGCUCUUAACUUCAACCAAAGAAAACACACAGAAAUUCUUUAACAUUCUGGAAGAUGUUAUGUUAUACCCACUUUGAAACUACAGUAGAAGUUGUUUUAUAAUUUUGUUUGGUGUUAUUUUAUUUGUGCACGGGAUCCCAUUUUGGCAGCUAUUUUUGGAACUCGCAAAGUGUAAAGUUUUUAAAAUAUUUUUUUCAUAAUUUUUCCUGUUACCAAAAUGUAAAUGGCACAUAAUAUUAUAAAUUAAAUAUUAUGAUUUUAAAGCAUAAUUUUUUACUAUUUUCUAUUUUUUAAUAAAAACUAAAUGGGAGACCACUUUUAAGCAGCUCCCUAAUUGUCACUGUUGCAGUUCACUCACGGCGAUUUAAGCUGUAGUCUUGAGUUGCUGCCCGUCACCCAUGGAAAUAGCGGCAUAAUCGAAAAAAAGUCAAAUAUUUCUAACAAGAAGGAAUAUAAAUAUCAUUUCAGAAUCGGUCAAAAACUCGAAGGUUAAGAAAAAAUAAAAAGCUAAGAAUCAAGUUUUAAACCUGUAACCUUCGACGCAGUAAUCUAACGCUUCUAACCACACAACGAAACAACGUUAGACACGGUUGGAUACAGUUUUUGUUCAUAUUAGAAUGUCCUGCUGAUUGUCGAUGUAUCGUCGGAUGAUAUUUAAUUACAUUAUUAUAAGAAAUCCUGCCGAUGGUAACAUGUUUGUCACAAAUCUUCAGCGUGCCAAAAACAACUUUCAUAAAUAGACCUACACGCGGGUGAAACAUAGCGCUUUCCGAUUGGUCUUCCAGUUCUGACUUUUCAUUGGUCACUUGGUUUUAGACCUGGAAGACGUGGUGGGGAUAGUGCAAGGACCCCUGUGUUGUUGCGACUAAUUCCGAAAUGAAUCGUCAACCCACCCCCACAUGUGUGGGUGCUUGUCAAGUAAAUACGUUUGCAAACAGUGGUGCAGCGCCAUCUACCGGCGAUUGAGGGAAGCGGUUCAGCACGAGUUCACUGUUUGCACUGUAGCACCUUAAUGCAGAUAACAGUGUUUAUGCGGAGAGAGCGCUUGACUCUACUACUAUUGAAUGACAAAGAUCCACAACCACAGUCAACACUACAACUGUUCCACGAAGAUAAGAGCCAUCACCUUGUGACAGAAGAGGGAUCAAAGAAGAGCAGUUGAAGAUGAUGUUCAGGUUGUUAUGAGUGCCUGCGAAGAACAGAAGAAAGAAAGAAUGCUGCUAAGAAAGUGAAGAAGAAAUUAAACCCCUGAGAUGAUGGAAUAGGGCCAGACUGAAUCUCAGACUCAUCAUCACCCAGCCCAAACUGCUAAGGAUAGAAACUUGAAAUUUGGAGAGGGUGUGGAUCUUAUACUGUGGGGAUUGUUUCAGGAGGGACUGUUCAAAAUUCCACUCCUAAGAAGGUGAAAUAGGAGUUUCUGUACUUGGUCCUUCCAGUAAAGCAUCAACAAGUCACCAAGAAAGUAUCGGGACAUGAGAUAGCAACAUGAUGCUCCUAAUGCUGUGAGAACACAACACAAUGGAAAGGCUACCAGACUUCCAAACAGAGCUCCAGCUAACACAUUCUGCUGCUUGGAAACUGCAGUUUGAUACUGCCCUGAAAAAGUAAAAGAUGGUCUCAUAUUAUGUAAGAAGAAAAUAUGAGGUUAUUUUCUUCUCUUUGUGAAGUAAAUGUGAAAGAACCAGUAUCAUCAGUCUUAUUUCCUGGAACUGGAAGCAGUAAAUCAGUAGUAAUAAACAGACUUAGUGAGAAGACCUGCUGGAAAUACAUAAUUUAAAUGCCAAAGCCACUGCAGUUCAUAUUUUUCCUCAUUCAUUAGUAAUUUGUGA